rnacentral:misc_RNA from 1 species
CCUUAGUUCACCACAAUGUUAACUAUUCCAUGAAUUGCAGGGCGAGAGGCCAGAUUAUGGCAAUAGAUUCUUUAAGAUUGCAUUUCUUCUUUUCUUGCUUCUUCUCACUGUUCAAAGUCGUCCCCAGUGCCCUGCAAGGAUCCAUCCCUUUUUAUGACUGCUCGGAUAUCGGUAACUACACCACCAAUAGUACCUACCAAACAAAUCUCAGAACCCUCUUAUCCAUCCUCCCUUCUCAGCCCAACGAAGAUAAUUUCAGGUUUUACUAUCUCUCUUUCGGCCAAUUCCAGGAUAAGGUUAAUGUGAUUGCGUUUUGUAGAGGAGAUAUUGCAGCAGAUGCCUGUCGAAGCUGUGUCCGUGCAUCUGCACACAAUAUUUCAGAGGUCUGUCCACGGGAAAAGGAAGCAUUUGAAUAUGUGGAUGAUUGUCAGCUACGAUAUUCUAACAAAACGUUAUUCGGUGUGGUUGAAAAUGAACCUACUGUAUAUUAUACCCACCCACAAUUUGUCUCAUCAUCAGAUGGAAUUCAGUUCAACUCGGAAGUGGAAAGAUUACUCAAAAGACUGAGGAUAAGAGCUGCCUCUGCGGACAGUAAGUUUGCAACAGGAAAGGCAACUGUGAACUCUCAAACAAUAUAUGCGCUUACCCAGUGCUCUCCUGGUUUGUCCAAGCAGCAAUGCGAUGAAUGUUUGGCUAUGGCCAUUGGAGAGAUUCGAAAUUGUUGCUUAGGGAAUAUAGGAGGAACAGUGCUUAGACCCAGCUGCAAUUUCAGGUUUAACCCAUAUAUGUUCUAUACACCUACUGCUGACACACUACCACCGGAAUCAUCCCCACCGCCAGUAUCUCCUCCGCCGAGAGAAGGAAAGCAUCAUAAGAAAUCUGCUGUCAUCAUUGUCAUUUCAGUAGUAAUUACUACCAUAUUAAUAAUUUCCAGUUGCAUCUUUUUAAGAGCAAGGAAAACAAGGCGAAAACCUAAAAAUGUGAAUGAAAUUAGACUUGCUGAAUCCUUGCAUUUCGAUUUGGGCAUCAUUAGAAUUGCAACAGAUGACUUUUCUGAUGCGAACAAGCUUGGACAAGGGGGAUUUGGAGUUGUUUACAAGGGUAGACUUUUCAAUGGACAAGACGUAGCUGUAAAAAGGUUAUCUAGAGAUUCUGGACAAGGAAAUAGAGAAUUUGAGAAUGAGAUUCUACUAGUAGCUAAACUUCAACAUAGGAAUUUAGUCAGGCUACUAGGUUUCUGCUUGGAAGGAAACGAGAGGCUUCUAAUCUAUGAGUUUGUGCCCAAUGGAAGCCUUGACCAUUUCAUAUUUGAUCCUAUCAAGCGUGCACAAUUGGAUUGGGAAACACGAUACAAAAUUACAAGAGGCAUUGCUCGAGGUAUUCUUUACCUCCAUGAAGAUUCUCAACUCCGAAUUAUUCAUCGUGAUCUCAAAGCUAGCAAUAUUUUAUUAGAUGAAGAGAUGAGUCCUAAAAUUUCAGAUUUCGGCAUGGCAAGGUUGUUUGCUAUGGAUCAAACGCAGGGGGAGACAAGUACCAUUAUAGGAACCUAUGGAUACAUGGCUCCAGAGUAUGCAAUGCAU